rnacentral:misc_RNA from 1 species
AUAUGGUCAGACCACCAAGUAAAAUCAACAUUAUCAAUUAAAAGUCCAUUCCGUACAUUCGAUAAGUUACUGAUCACCUGUGACCGUGAGCCUAAUCUCUCUCCAAUAGCAAAGUUAGAAAGUGAGCACCGUUCUUUAUCCAACUUAAAAAAGUGCAAGCAUCCUGUCAUAUCUAAAGUGGCAACAAAAUUGCCCUGUGGAGACAUUAGCACCUUUGGAUAAGCUAUCUGAC